rnacentral:rRNA from 1 species
UACAGAGGUCUCAAGCGUUGUUCGGAUUCAUUGGGCGUAAAGGGUGCGUAGGUGGCGCCGUAAGUCAGGUGUGAAAUUCGGAGCUUAACUCCGAAACUGCAUUUGAUACUGCGGUGCUUGAGGACUGGAGAGGAGGACUGGAAUUUACGGUGUAGCAGUGAAAUGCGUAGAGAUCGAUAAGGAAGACCAGUGGCGAAGGCGGGUCUCUGGACA